GUAAAUAACGAGAACCCGUAGGUAGGUAUAAUAUGUACCUAUCGAACGGUAUACAAUUUUUUUUAGUUAUUUGACUAAAGCUAAAUGUUCACUUUCUUUACGGUACCUAUCGGCACCAAAACAGUUCUCUAACGCGAUAUUUCAAAACGUCUCAAAACUCAUUCAUUCGGAGUGAAUAAUUUAUUAUUAUAAUGCCGAUACAUGAUAAUAUCAUUUCAAUCAAUAACUAUUCCGUUAUAAUUUUUUGAAACGAUUUAACUGAAAGUGUAAUAUUGCAAUUGUUACAAUCAAAUUAAAAAAAUUUUACGAUAAAGUUGUGUACAUUUCAAUCAUCAAAUGACCGCAUUGGAUACAGGGUGUUUCUGCAACGAAAUUCGCCAUUGAAAUAGAAUACACAUCAUAGGUACACGUUGAAUAAGUGGGGCAAAAAAGAAAUUUCCAAAAAACCCCGUACAAUUGUAAGUACUAAUUACACAGUAGCCACUACCAUAGUUUUGUCAUAGUUUGUACUUGAUAAUACCUGUAAAUAACAUGUUUUGUUACAUGCUUAACUAUCUAUACCAACAAUGGCUGGAUAUAUUAUGCCAUCGAGUAAUUAAAUGACGGGUCACAUAAUUUUUCACCAUAAUGGCACCUAUUAUGGACUAUAAAUAUGUUGCGAAAACCAUGCGAGACAGAUAAUUUAGUACGAUGACUGCAGAAAAACGAAAUAAGGAAUAUACAUUUUUAAAUUGUAGUCAUUAUUUUUAAAAUAAAAAUUGGAGUACCAUUGUUUUUAGAAUAUAAUUGCAUUUUGUACAACAAAAAUCUCUUUGUUUGGCUACUCGCCCGAGUAAGUAUUUAUCGCAUUGAUUACAUUUAUUGUAAAAGCAUCCUGUACCUAGGUAUAGUUGAUAUUAUAUAUUAUCAUGUUUUUCUGUUGUAUUUCAAUCGAUGCAGUAGUUAACUAUUAUAUGUUCACUAACUUUGAUGCUACUUAAAACAUUUAAGUGUUAUCGUGUCAGACAUGCAUACAGCCAUUUUUGUUUUAAUCGGUCCUGAAAAACAAUUGUUUGUACAAAAUUGAUUAGUUAAAUACAAACAUGUACGAUAUACAUGUGUAGGUACACAUAAUUAUACUACACAUGCAUUCUCGACAAUGUUUGUUUUUCCUUUCAACGCAAACAUCGACAGUUUUUACGCGAUUUUUUUUUUAAACUCGACCACUGGUGCACCGUUGACGUAUAUAUUAUAUUACCUAUGUAUACAUAACGCACCUGAAGUAACAGUUGAAGACGAAUUUUCAAUUGCCAAACACGCUCGUGAUUUGAGCACAGACAUUACGAUAUCGUAUGCGACCGGAUCAGAACCAAUAAUACUAAUGCAAUGCUAUUAACUACCUAUUAUCUGAUUGUAUUAUAUUAUAUUGUUUUAGGGGAGUCUAUCUAGAUUAUAUGUCACGAUAUUAUUGUGCACUCUGUCGACUCUUUUUUUAGCAGAUCAUUAUUCGCUGCACGCGUCCUGCCGCUACCACGUCGUUAUAUUGCAACGUCGAAGUCCGUACCCAUCUGCAUAUUAUAUUAUUAUUGUAACGCGUAUAUCAUUCACAGUACAAUAAUAUUAUAAUUGGGUUACGCGUGUUUUUAUAACAGUAAAUUAUUCAGUUCCGUAAUGAUUUUUACCGUAACGCCCGUAAUGAUGCGGUGGCUGCAAAACAAGAAGAAGUACCUAUAUAUGUGUACAAUAAUAAUUUAAUAUCACCGGUACAUAUGCGACUGCAUACAAUAUAAAUUGUAUAAUAAGGUUUAAGGUACCUAGCUAUAUCAUAAGUAUUCCACCGACAAUACACGAUUCCCCCCUUUUGUGUAGUACUAGACUUUUUAUUUUAUUAUUACUAUUAUUAUAUUUGAUGUGGUACAUUACAAUAUUCAAUUAAGGAACGUGGGACAGUGACAGUAAAACGUGUGUUGUUGUUAUAUUAUAUACCUACGUAUUGCUCGGCGUAGCCAUGGGCUAGUAUUUCUUAUAAAUUAUCGUCAUUGGUCCGUCGCACGUUUUUUUUUUUUUUUAUGCAUUUUUAUCACACAACUAAACGAAUUGAUUUUCAACAAAAUAUGCCGUCAGACACCUCAUCGUUAAUCUCGGCAAUAAUAUUAGGUGAUGUCGUCUGAUCGAGUUUAACCUAUAUGCAAAUAACCAAACGGACAGAUUUAACGAUAUUCCUCAUUAUUUCUUUUCAUUUUCACAUUUUAAACCCAUUACCUGCAACAGAGUAUUGGUAUAGGUACGUCAUCGCGUACGCAUUAUAUGUCAAAUCGAAAAAUCAAAUCUUUUGUAGUACAUUGUGCGCUAUUAUUUAAUGAAUAUAAACGGCGCUUAGUCAUGAGAAAACCGUACGAAACAAAUGCACCCUAUAUAGAAUACAAUGAAUACAAUUUUUUUAUCCUAUUCAUUACUAUUAUUAUUACUACUGCUGUACUAUUAUUAUUAUGAUUAUUACAUGUCCCCCACUCAGGAAUUGCCACAGCUACGCCAACAGGAUGUACAAAGGCCUUCCGGUGCAGGUCACUGCUGGAAUCCGCGGAAGUCUACCGGAAGAAGGCGUUUUUCGACUUCAUCGGAUUCUUGUGUUGUAGUGUAUGGUAACUGGUAGUGCACCGUGCAAUUCUGAACAUUUAUUCAAACACAUACAAUGCAACCACUCGUGGGAACGUGCUAAGUUUCACUGCCAUCGGUCUUGCCUUACGGAUUUCUUCCGGCAAAUGACUCGUGGGAACGUCAAUCGUGACGAAAUGACCGGACUCUGCAACACCAGCUAUAUAUGGCUCAUUGUACAACGCCUCGCUGGGAAUAAAUUAACAGUUUAAAGUACGAGUAAUGUCAAAUUAUUGGCGAUUGCUACGAAUAUAUCUGUGUCACUCAUUUCGAUUUUCAACGAUGUACUCCUCGAUAAGAUGAACAGAAAAUAUAGAGACCUUCGAAAUCAUUGUUUCACAAUUUAUUACCAAUACACAAUGAAAUGCAUGUAUAUACUAUCAAUGACGAGGGUACGCGAAAGUGCACAAAUAUAAUGAAAUUCAAUAAUUGAAACAUCGUGAAAUUAAAGGAAUAUAUUGUAAUAUAUGGAUAUUUUAUGUGAAUAUAUAAUAAUAUUUUAUAGGUUCUAUGAUAUCACAUAAUAUGAUCCACAAUAAAUUCUUAACUGUUUGAUGUAUAAAAAAAAAAUAUGACGACAUCUAUAAUUUAAAACUUUCAACUGCUUUAAAGACUGCUUGAGUGAGCUUCAGAUCGAGUUUAUUGUUUCUCGUAAGACGUCUACAGGAACAAACUCCGAUAAUUUAGAUUUUUACGGAAUUUCAAAACCGACAAAUUGCCGAAUAUCAAUAAUAAUUGUUCGUUUUCCACCUUCCGUUACGCGAUAAAUGUAUAUAAAAUCCAGAUUUAUAUGCCUAUAGUUAUAUAUAUAUGUAUAUUAUAUACACCUAUACGAUGUACCUAUAUGUGCACUCACGUUGUACAAAAUGAAUGGUGUGCUGGUGCUGCAGGAGCUGACGGCGUUCGGGCACCCCCUCCGAAGUAGCGUUAAUUUACCGUCUUCGUCAGUGUGGCAAAUUUAUCGCAACAGGUCGCGCGAAUUGAUUACGGCGAGAGAUUUAUCAACAACAACGUGUUAUUCCCAUCGUUUUUUCUCGGAAAAAUGAUUUCGUGGUAACGGGAAAACAAUCAUUAUUUUUGCCGACGAUAAAUGAACGAAAAAACGGCGAAUGAAGGUUCUCGCCGCCCCGUACCCGUCGUCGUCGUCGCCGAUGUGUGGCGGAGGCGGUCGAGCUGGUAGAUUUCUCUUUCUAUGUAUUUUUUUUUCUCUCUCACUCUCUUCGAGGAAAAGCCCACCCCCCGCGGACAGAGGCCGAGUGCCUGUCGAUGUUCUUCACGGCGCGCCCGGCACUUAGCGCCCGGGAAAAAUGACCUCCAUUAAUAUUUUUAUUAUAUUAUAGGUUUUCACUGGUUGUAAGUACGCUAGCGCGGUCCCCGUAAUGGACCCUGUGCAGAGCAGUGGCGUCAGCGGGGAACGUGGUUGC